AUGUCAGUGGCACAAUUGGCUAGCGCGUGAGACUUUUAAGCCAUUCCUUUGGUUAGAGAUCUCAAGGUUGAGAGUUCGGUAAAUGGAACAUGAUUCUUUGCCUAAUACU